rnacentral:lncRNA from 1 species
GAAAAAGAUAAGUCCUAUACCUACCCUGAGAAGGGAACCUUUGCAAAUGAAAGCAAGUGAACACUGACCUCACCUCUCUUUCAUAGCCCCUUAUACAUCUGGUCAGCAAGAUGGUUGUUGCCAGCCUCUCACUGCCUGAUGAAAUAAUGCUCUGCUUGAGCCUGACACCUUAGCACAGUAGCAAUGGAUCUUAAUGUCUUCUUAUUCCCAAUGAACAAAGGGCUAAAUCUAGUCAUUGCCUCUUCUGCAAAUGCUUGCUGAAGUGCAGUUUAGUUAAGCUAAACUUGUAACUUGUAACUUGUCUGGGUUGACAGACUCCCUUAUCUAAAUAAGAAAAUGUUUCAGAAAAGUGCUUCAGUCUUGGCAAGAAUUUCAUACUCACUGAAAUAAUGGUAGCAGUGGAAGUGGUGACAGAAGAAUGGGAGAACUGAUUCCCUAGCAAGAUGGGUAAGAACAAACAGGUGAAAUGGUUGUAUAGAAAUGCAGACAACUUCAGACCUGUGCAAGUUAAGGGUACCAAGUAAGAAUGAAAGUUCUCUUUUCUUGUAGUCGAGUUCAAGAUCCUCGGUUACUGAUGGAAAAUCAUCUAGCAUUUGUUACGGAUCGAGGUCAGAACUGCAUAUCUGAGACACAUUUAGAAUGGUGACUCUGAUAAAACCAAGGUGGGGCAUUUUUCCCAUCUCCUUGCUACUGAUGAGGAUCCUGUGGAACACAGCUGUCUUCAUUACUGAGGGUCAUGCUGAGUGGAGGUGCAGGGAUUUUCAUUUCUUUCUUUCAACAUCUAACAAAAGGUAUCCAAAGAAUGUGGCUGAAGUUGUCUUCAUAUCUGGAGAUGAGUCUCAUAAAAAUGAGGUAAGAACCAUAAAUCAGGGGAAGCAAUUGGAAGUGGUGACUGCUGUUAUAUUAUUCCACUUGACUGAGUGCAAUUUUUAUUACUCACAUUUGCAAGAUGUGAGGACCUCACAAGGUUGAAAAUGUGAACUAUUUUUCUGUCAUUCAAUAAAAAAUCCAUAGAAAUAUUUGCA